AAUGCUCAAGAUAUUGAAGGGUCAGACCACAUUCAGUUAUAUUCGAAUUCAUAUAAUGGAAACAAUUCAACUUUGCUCCCAUUCAGGUGCACGUACACAUAAAGCGGCAUUUGAUGAAGGAAUUGCCAGAAACAGAUGAUAGUGUUGCACAGUGGUGUAAAGAUAUUUUUGUGGCCAAGGAUGCAUUACUGGACAAGCAUAUGGCUAAUGACACCUUCAGUGCCCAAGAAUUGCAAGAUCAUGGUCGAUCAAA